UAACAACACGAGUAAUCGUACUGCUUAAAAUAUGCAUGAUGUGCUAGAAAAAAUUCUAUCCGAAAAUCAUAAGUACCUGUUUGGACUUCUUGAAUUCUCUGAUUUUUUUUUGAUGAAUCCUACAUUUUGUUCAGAAUUAUGGGCAUCUUCUAUUUUGUUCUUAUCUGAGCAAUUCAUUGUAUUACUUACUGAUGUGGCAAGUGCUAAUCCUAUAAUUAAAUGACCAUCAGCUUAGUGUGGAGUGACAUGCACCUUGGUGAUGUUAUACUGCUUGUAGACACCAAAGAAGCAAAAUCUGAGCUGUAGUGGAACUUAUAAAUAUGACCAGUCAUGAUGCCGGUAUGGGAAACUAAACAGUUCAUUGUUGAAUUGAAGUAUCAAUCCUCAUCCGCUUUGUAUAGCCAAUAAUUAAAGAUUGAGAUGUUAAAAGAACUUUCAAAGUUGCCUAAUAUCUAUGAUAGAUUAGCAAGAUUAUUGAUUAUGAACAUAUGGGAAUUGGACGGUGUUAAGAGGGGCCUGCCUUGCCA